AUGGGGGGCGUCGGAUCUGACCUGAACGACGCCUCCAGGGAGGGGAACGGCGCCACGAGCGUCGCCGCCGCCAAGACCGACGAGGCCGGCCUGGAAUUUCUCCCGCUUCUAAGUGACAAGCAAAGAGGUUUCGUCAGAAAAAUUGGGUUUGAGAGCCUCUUGUCCAUGGCAGAUUUUGAGAUACAUAAGGGCCUUACCCUAUGGUUGGUUGAUAAGUUCAAUUGUGACACUGAAGCUCUUGAAUUUGAAGGAGGCAUAUCAAUUCCAGUGAGGCCACUUGUGAAGUUUGUCCUUGGAAUCCCUUCAGGCCCGAUAAAAGUUGUAGAGGAUCUCGAUGUCGAUGACGCUCUUUACAAUCAGUAUUCUCACAAUAAUAGAGCAAAGAAUGCGAAGAUGGUGGCAACAGAAAUGUCCUUUCUGGGAGCUGCUCGACAGGUUGAUAACCUCAAACAGAUGGAUUGGUGCAAUUUGGUUGCUGACUGCCUAAUCAAAGGAAUCAGGGAAUACAAAGAGUCUGACGCAUUGUUUGUCCAUGUAAAGGGUUGCGUGCACAUACUGAGCGUCAUUUUUAUCGAUCUUGUGAAACAUGCUUCUUUCGAAGUACCAAAUGGAUUUCCACGCUUGAGCGUUGUCACUACGAAACAUAACAAAUGGGUAGCUUCACAUCCCUUUGGUAGCUUGCAGAUUACAGACGGGGUGCAGGCUCCUCCAGAAGUGGAUGUGGGAAGGAACAGGGGCUCGCCGUCAACGAUGGAGAAGGACAAUCGGAGCGCCAAGAAAGCGAGGGUGGAGCUGCCCAGCAGUGGCCAAGUGAAGCCAGCCGGAGAAGUUACCAUAAAGAUGGACAUGAGUUUCCUUAAUUGCCGCGUCUGCUCCCGCCCCAUCAAGGUCCCUGUCUUCCAGUGCAAUGCCGGGCAUUUAGCAUGCGGCAGAUGCCUCGCCGAGCUCCCCGGCGAACAGUGCCAGGCAUGCGAGCACGGCGGUGGCUUUAGCCGCUGCCCCACGAUAGACGCUGUCGUCUCGUCCUUGACGGUGAUGUGCGGCCACGAUGGCUGCGGGAGCGACGUCCCCUACAACGAGCUCGACGACCACCAGAGCAAAUGCCAGCACGCGCCCUGGUUCUGCAUGGAGCCUGGCUGUGGCUUCUUCGGUGCACCGCUGGCACUCCUGAGCCACAUGGGUACCCUGCAUGAAAUGCCAGUGCACAAGGUCCAUUAUGGCAAUGUUCACCAGCUCCGGCUGUCGGAGCGGCAGCCGCGGUGCCUGCUCCAUGGGCAAGGGGACGGCAGCGUGUUCCUCCUGGUCAUGGGCGCGCUCUGCAUGGCCACCGUCGUGUCUGUGGUGUGCAUCAGAGCUGGAGCGUCAUCAUGGCCGCAGUAUGCGGUCGAGCUUCGGGCAAAUGGUCCGCCACCACCGAGCAGCAUAGAAGGCAGCAUUCUGUUGGACAUGAAGCCAGUGACGAGCAGCACUAGGCCCGGCGAGGUCGCCGUGGUGGAGCUUGUUAGGAAUAAGACACGGCGGUGGUGGUGA
rnacentral:rRNA from 1 species